UUCACUAUCAAAAGCUGUGAUGUAUUCUUUAUAUCUGGUUGCCUUAAGAAUACGGAGCUAAUGGCAAACCCGGUUGAUAAUAAA
rnacentral:ncRNA from 2 species